rnacentral:rRNA from 1 species
CGGACGGGUGAGUAAUGCUUGGGAAUCUGGCUUAUGGAGGGGGAUAACUACGGGAAACUGUAGCUAAUACCGCGUAAUAUCUUCGGAUUAAAGGGUGGGACUUUCGGGCCACCUGCCAUAAGAUGAGCCCAAGUGGGUUUAGGUAGUUGGUGGGGUAAAGGCCUACCAAGCCGACGAUCUCUAGCUGGUCUGAGAGGAUGACCAGCCACACUGGAACUGAGACACGGUCCAGACUCCUACGGGAGGCAGCAGUGGGGAAUAUUGCACAAUGGGGGGAACCCUGAUGCAGCCAUGCCGCGUGAAUGAAGAAGGCCUUCGGGUUGUAAAGUUCUUUCGGUGAUGAGGAAGGUGUUUGUUUUAAUAGAGCAAGCAAUUGACGUUAGUCACAGAAGAAGCACCGGCUAACUCCGUGCCAGCAGCCGCGGUAAUACGGAGGGUGCGAGCGUUAAUCGGAAUGACUGGGCGUAAAGGGCACGCAGGCGGUGACUUAAGUGAGAUGUGAAAGCCCCGAGCUUAACUUGGGAAUUGCAUUUCAUACUGGGUCGCUAGAGUACUUUAGGGAGGGGUAGAAUUCCACGUGUAGCGGUGAAAUGCGUAGAGAUGUGGAGGAAUACCGAAGGCGAANGCAGCCCCUUGGGAAUGUACUGACGCUCAUGUGCGAAAGCGUGGGGAGCAAACAGGAUUAGAUACCCUGGUAGUCCACGCUGUAAACGCUGUCGAUUUGGGGAUUGGGCUUUUAGCUUGGUGCCCGUAGCUAACGUGAUAAAUCGACCGCCUGGGGAGUACG